UACAGAGGGUGCAAGCGUUGUUCGGAAUUAUUGGGCGUAAAGGGCGCGUAGGCGGUGCGGUAAGUCUGUAGUGAAAUCUCUGGGCUCAACUCAGAGUCUGCUGCAGAAACUGCCGUGCUUGAGUGUGGGAGAGGUGAGUGGAAUUCCCGGUGUAGCGGUGAAAUGCGUAGAGAUCCGGAAGAACACCGGUGGCGAAGGCGGUCUGCUGGGGUAAUGCUGACACUGAGGCGCGACAGCGUGGGGAGCAAACAGG
rnacentral:rRNA from 1 species